AACCUCCCAGCUGCUUUCUAUAAAGAUGGCUCCCUCAUCAGGAAGCAGCCUACAGGUCACAUGACCAUCCAGCAUGUUUCCAGGUCUGAUGAAGGCCUCUACAAGUGUGACAUCAGCGGUCAUGGAGAGUCUCCAUCCAGCUGGAUCACUGUCACAGAAAAACCUACAGCCGCAGUGAUCCCCGCCACCUCUUCACUACCCCCUGACUGCAACUCUCUGCAGCUUGCGUUCAGAGUGGUCCUCCACCUGGUGGUGUUCAGUCCAUACUUCAUCUCCACUCACUUCAUGAUGUCUUUAUAUCGCCACAGAGCCAAAGGAAACAAACUUUGCAUCUUGAUCCCUCCCACUCAUCCUGAGCAUGGAUUGGAUGAUGAGCAUGAUGAUGUAAUUACUGAUGUCACCACAG
ensembl:lncRNA